UCUUUGUUCCUGAGCAUGGCACUAUGUUUACUCUUGCGCUUGUUCGUUUUCCGCCUACUGCGACUAAAGAGAUUCAGUACCUUAACGCUAAAGGUGCUUUGACUUAUACCGAUAUUGCUGGCGACCCUGUUUUGUAUGGCAACUUGCCGCCGCGUGAAAUUUCUAUGAAGGAUGUUUUCCGUUCUGGUGAUU
rnacentral:rRNA from 1 species